AAGAAGACAGGAUGUUUAGUGGCGGACGGGUGAGUAACGCGUGAGUAACCUGCCUUGGAGUGGGGAAUAACACAGUGAAAAUUGUGCUAAUACCGCAUAAUGCAUUUAGGUCGCAUGACUUUGAAUGCCAAAGAUUUAUCGCUCUGAGAUGGACUCGCGUCUGAUUAGCUAGUUGGCGGGGCAAUGGCCCACCAAGGCGACGAUCAGUAGCCGGACUGAGAGGUUGGCCGGCCACAUUGGGACUGAGACACGGCCCAGACUCC
rnacentral:rRNA from 1 species